AUUGACCGCUGGCGGCAGGCCUAACACAUGCAAGUCGAACGAGUGGCGGACGGGUGAGUAAUGUCUGGGAACCUGCCUGAUGGAGGGGGAUAACUACUGGACACGGUAUCUAAUACCGCAUACCCUCGGAUGUGCCCAGAUGGGAUUAGCUAGUAGGUGGGGUAACGGCUCACCUAGGCGACGAUCCCUAGCUGGUCUGAGAGGAUGACCAGCCACACUGGAACUGAGACACGGGACAGACGCCUACGGGAGGCAGCAGUGGGGAAUAUUGGACAAUGGGCGCAAGCCUGAUGGAGCCAUGCCGCGUGUGUGAAGAAGGCCUUCGGGUUGUAAAGUACUUUCAGCGGGGAGGCGUUACCCGCAGAAGAAGCACCGGCUAACUCCGUGCCAGCAGCCGCGGUAAUAC
rnacentral:rRNA from 1 species